rnacentral:rRNA from 1 species
UGGGGAAUCUUGGACAAUGGGCGAAAGCCUGAUCCAGCCAUGCCGCGUGAGUGACGAAGGUCUUCGGAUUGUAAAGCUCUUUUUGGCGGGGACGAUAAUGACGGUACCCGCAGAAUAAGCCCCGGCUAACUUCGUGCCAGCAGCCGCGGUAAUACGAAGGGGGCUAGCGUUGUUCGGAAUUACUGGGCGUAAAGCGCACGUAGGCGGAUUUGUAAGUCAGGGGUGAAAUCCCGGGGCUCAACCUCGGAACUGCCCUUGAUACUGCAAAUCUCGAGUCCGAUAGAGGUGAGUGGAAUUCCUAGUGUAGAGGUGAAAUUCGUAGAUAUUAGGAAGAACACCAGUGGCGAAGGCGGCUCACUGGAUCGGUACUGACGCUGAGGUGCGAAAGCGUGGGGAGCAAACAGGAUUAGAUACCCCUGUAGUCCCUGAGCGGGCUGGCAAGGCGCAU